AUACCACUGAGACAACCAUACAACCAUCUCAGUGACAUUCCAGGUGUGUAAAUAACCAGAUAUUUGGACAAAUAAAAAGAGAUGAAUCCUCUUGUAGACUUUUCGAUAUGCUGAACACAUCAGGACUGCACAAGAACUUUCUGCAUAGAGAUACUAUCACCUACCUAAACUUCCUAAAAAAGGUCUGCCAAGUCACUGCUGAAGCCAUCAAGAAGACUGAGCUACAAUGUUUGGAGGAGCUAGCCAUUGUAAACGGCAUUCAUGAGAAAAACAUAUGGAAUCAGAAAGAGCUGGGAAUGCACUACCUGUUUUUAUUUCUGAGAUUUUUCCUUUAAAAAACAAAAAACAAAUACUAAAAGUAAAAUGCCCACUUGAGCCUUCCCUAUUUUGUAACUAUUCUCAAACUCAGUGCUAAGAAUUGUUUGCGCAAGUUGUGCCAGCUGCUUAGUGGUUAAAGACUUUACCUUUCUUCACAUUAAAGCAGCAGGGAAGGAGACACAUGGGCAGGAACUUGCAAUUAUGAACAACAUAACUGAUCGUCUAAAGACCAUCUGGAAAAUAUGCCUGCCGAUGGACAAACUGCUGGUGAAGGACAUUUAACACUUAACACCCAGCACUACAUGAUGUUUACACAAGAUACAGACUUAGAGGCAAGCUAUCUGGCACCAGUAGUUUCUGUUUGGCCUUCCACACUGCUUAAACACAUGAACCUACAUUUUCAGAAUUGUUUCUUCACUUGAAGUAAGCUAAAUGCACUGAUCACCUAUAUUUUCCAAGCAAGAUUUCCCUGAAGAAGCUAACAAAGUUUCUCUUAUUUACUUUGACUAUUUUUAUUGUUUCUUAUGGGGCUGAAUCCUCUUAAAUUACAUAUUACUAUAGUACUGAGUUUUAUACUUCCUGACUUACAAUGGUAUAUUUGACUAAGAGGAGCUCAUCUUUGGAUUUUUAAUAAAAACAGCUCUUCUAUCA
rnacentral:lncRNA from 1 species